UACAGUGUAGUGGAAAGAAAAAAAAACCCCGGAGCAGUGGCAGAGGAGCAGUGGGGCUGGGCAGUGGCAGCCUGGCUCCUGAACAUGGCAGGGAGAGGUUCCCUGGGAGGGGGAAAGGGGCUCAGGGAUCCUGGGAUGCCCUGAGGCACCCAAGCAGAUGGUGAAGGGUCCCCUGUCUGGUGAGGUAGGGUGUUAAUAAAGUCCCAAUGCAAUGGCCGCUCUUAUGAGCAGAGUUCUGCUCAUGGUAGGAGGCAACAGAAGACAGAAUCCCAUAGUGGUGGUGAAUUCUUCUGACAGAGACUCCAGCCUCUUUUACCUUUGAAUGCUGAGAGAGCAAGACAGAGCUAGGAGAUGUGCCCAGCCCUUUCCCUCAGCACCAGUCUUGUGGUAUCUCUGCCCUUUCCAGGAGAAUGUCCCUCAGCUGCCAUAGUAAAGCCAGCAGCACUCCUCUCCUUUCUCCACGGUUACUUCUUUUCUUUCUCCUAAAUACAAACUGUUAUUGCUUUUUAGCAACAAAAUGGGAGAAAAUGCCCUAAAAGAGAGAAAACAAAAAAGGAAAAAUCCUAACCUUGAACAAAUAUGUACAAUAGGGAUGGGAUCUAUCAAGCUCCACAAGGGUCUGUUCUGGAAAACCUCUAUAGCAAUGUGUUUCACUUGGGCAGCAUAGUUACUUCUUUACUGAGACAUUGACAUGGAUUUCUUUGGCUUCUGCAGAGGCUUUUCCUCAAUUCUAUACUAAUUUCAAAGGAUGCUUGAAUUUCAGAGAUUUGGGAAGAGUGGCAUUUUGAAAGGAAGACUAUUCAUUGGCAUGGCCUGGCUAAGAAUCUAAACACCAUUUUCCAUAAGUUAGCUUGUCUUCAAACCUGAGGUCAUGUUAUUGGGUGUAUUCCACUAAGAAAUGUCGGGUGAGCCUUAGGUCAUGGAUGUUACAGUCACUUUGUCUCCAACACAGACAUGCUGAAGGGAGCAUAUGCAUAUACACUGGUAUAUGGGAGUGUAAAUAAGGGAGUGAAAAUAAGGAAGAACUUGUUCAUGUAAUUGCCACAGCUAACUGCCUUGCCCAGAAAAAGGAGCUCUCUUCACCCAUCUUAAUAGAGAAUGUGUUCUUUGGUAUGUGAUGCCAAAAGGAAAAUUCUUAUUAUCAAAACUUUAAUGACAGUCCCUUUCUUUUCCUGUCUGCUCCCAUAUUCUGGAAAUGGCUAUUUGGAGUCGGGAUUACUCAGGAGUUGGCUCACUCAGCUAUCAGAAGGGCACACAGGCAAAUUGUGUCUGGUCUCUGGCCACACCCCGCUGGAAGUACAGGUGGCCCAGCCAGAUAAGAGGCAUUUUUUCUACUGGAGAGCCAUGGACAUGACCUAGCUCAUCUGUGCCUGCCAAGAUUACAGUGCAAAUUUGACAGGCCAUGACAAGAUUUCAGUUUUAGUAACACUGUUAUUGGUAAUGAAGAUCAAGACAUUUUGAAAUAACAAUGCCAUUUAAUUGUGUGUAUUUGUACACAGGCGGCCAUUUUUUUUUCCUUUAAAUCAGUUUGUCCUCUCAUUCUGUCUGAAAUACAGCCCUGCUGGACAGUGGCUGUGCAAAUUCACUCAUGAACUAGGUCAGUUUUUUUUUACCUAGAAGCAAUAUGCUCUUGCCCAGAAAUCUACAGUGCCUACCAUAAAGAGGUGCAAUGCUGUGAACCCACUCUGAGGAUUUUAUUGACAUAUCCUGAGAAAUCUUGGUGCUCAAGGGUUGUUUGUCAAUCCCUGGCUUUCUCGUUUACAUUGCCUCUUAUCAGCAGAGCAACAGACUGUUUGCAUAGCAGCUUGUCUUCCUUCAUCUCAAGACUUCUGAAGCUUCUCCCCAAAAUGUUCCUGCCUUUGACCUGACGCUGGAUCUGCUCUAGUCACUGAAGCUAUUCAAGGCCUGAUCUUCCAUUUCAUUGGAUGGAGAAACUCCCCAGGGUAUCUGCAGACUCUUCCCAGUAGAACACUCUGCGCUGAAAGGUUUGGUUUAACUGAAGUAGCUGCAUAUGUAUACCAGUGGGUGCCAGAGAAGAUACUGCAGCACUGACUUAGUAACGAGGGGGACUACACUGGAAUCAGGAUUAAAAAUCAACUCAGCUCUUUCAGUUCUCCAGUUCCCUGCCAGCAGUUUUCACUCAGAGAGAUACCAGCAGAUGAGAGGUAAGUUGUGAUGUAGGUACCAAGUUACUGCAUCACCAUAUGCAAGGAGAUGAUGACAGAGAUAACAGAAAGGAAGGAACUGAACCGACAAAGCGCAAAACUGCCUUUUCCACGAAGUGAGACUUGUUAUAUUCCCUUCCCUUCCUUCAGGAUUGCUGUUCCAGGACUAGAAGAGAACUGAGAUCUGCAAGAAUUUGAGUAACUCGGUCUGCUCAGUUCUCCUCAGAGACACUAAAUGACAAUUUCAGCUUCUGGCAGUGCUUUGACAUGAAACCAUACAUACUAUCAAGAAGGGAAAUAUAUACACUGAAUGUUCGAAUCUAGUAUGGAUAGUGCUGGUGUGAGGACAAACAGCACAUUCCACUGGCAGCUGCAUCCUGUGACUUACUUAUCAAGUUCCCGGUGCUUCAAUGUUAUUAUUGCCAUUAAAUAUCCAGAUUUUAGUGGUGGUACAUAGAAGUCCUUAUUAGACAAAAUUUUGAUAGUUCUCAAAACAAAACCUCCCUCACUGGCAUUAUGAUUAACUAAGCAUUCCCUUAGAACUGUUGCCAGCUGCCUUCCCACAAACUACUUCAUCAUUCCCAAGGAUAUUUAUGCCAUGAUUUCUAUUAACUUCUGCACUCUAGACUUUUUUUUUUAAACAAAGCAAGAGUGAAAAUUCACUAAAAAUAUAAUUUAUUGUAAAGUGACUUGACUACUGACUUGCUAAUAUAUUUACAUGGUACUUUUGCUAUAGUCACUCCAUAAGGAAUGAGCAGCACAGCUCCCUCUGAUGCCUGCCAUACUACACAGGCACAUUAACAAAAGUAUAUUGUAAGAGCAUCGAGACCACCACCAAGGUCAAGCACUCAAACCUUAAGACCACAAAGAACUAAGGCUGCAUGUGCAAUUUCAGUUCAUGCUUUUGUCUCUUUUCAUAUAAUGACAUUGAAUUUUCCCCAUGAAAUUACACUGCCCAUUUCAGUGCACAAAACCCAGAGCUCUCAAGGGAUAAAACUCAGCUAGAGAACUGAGUACUUUAGUACCUGGAAUAUUAUCUAGACUGUACAAGGACACAUGGUCAUGCAGUUUAUUUUCCUCUUCAAACCUGAAUUUUUUAUCAUCUCAUCUCAAAAUGGCUUUGGUCCACAAUUUGUUCUUGAGUUCUUCCUAGCAAGUGGGAGAGGAAAUACGUGUUUGGUUUUUCCUGGAAACAUUUGACACAUAGGAAAGAGGCAGUUGCCUAUCUUUUAAGGAAAGGAAUGCUGAGGUCCAUCUCAAGAGGCACUUGAAAAUUUUGAUUCUGGCCAACCAGUGCAAAGUCAUUGUGAGAUUAUUUCAAUGACCUCUAUCAGAUAAAACUUCAUAGAUAGAGCAAGUUUAUGUGCUGGAACCAUUUUCAUGUAAAAAGUAGUAACAUGUAUUUUAAGAAGUAGUAACAUGUAUAUGAUAGUCUGGUGCUAUCCUACCAAGUUUACUAAUCUCAAAUCCCUUUCCACAUAUAAAUGGUGGUGGUUAGAAACAGUGCUCCAGCAGCAUCUACUUUUUGUAACCAAGACGGGUUAUGAAGGUGGAUGAACCUUCACUGUGAGAUACCAUGGUCACUGCAACACUGUUGAGAAUGACCUGUCCUAUCUCUAAAGGAUCCUUGUUCCUCAUUGCUGUGUCCUUUUUUCCAGUAACAUAAAGUUUCUUAUGCAGGGCAAACACCAGUUUGUGAUAGUAUCUCUGCUUGAGAAGAGCAGAAUUUAAAGCAUUCUCUUUUUAUUCAAUAAUCAUAAUACAUAAAAAUUCAGGGCAGUAUGUUGUUUUGCUCUGAAAAAAUGCUUUGUUUGUUACCUUUUUGCUGUGGAGAAACUAAUGGGAGAAGACUGACAACAAAUCCCUGUCAAACUAUCCACAGACAAGAAAUCUAGAAGAAAAGAAUAGGCUCUUCACAGCUGCAAGAAAAAGAUAAUGCGUAUUACUAUGCUUGAGAAGUUAAGUUGUUUAGAUCCGGAAGAUGUACAUAAAAGAAUUGGCAGAAGCUGCUAACAGAUAAAAGUCAACACUGCUCCUUCAUCUUUUGGGAAUUUUGGGAAACAUUUGUAAGUACACAGAAUGUUAAAAAUAAUGAGUAUACAGCAGUCACCCAGAAAAAAAAAUGCAAACAAUGGCAACAGCUCUCCAGCACCAUGACUUUUAUUCAAAAACUGAAUGUGUUUCAAAUCAAAUCAAAUAUGUUUCCUCCUCUAAAAAAAAAAGAAAAAAAAAAAAAAGAAAAGCUUAGAGCUGUAGCUGUAGCAACAGAAUACAACAAUGCUGAAAGGCAGUCUUAUAAGAAAGUAAAACUGGAUUAAUCCUUACAGCCAUUAAAUCAUCGGGUGAUCUGACAUAGAUACAGAAACAACAUUAUUAGGAAAAUCCUGGACUGAAUCUAUAGAGAAGCAAUCCCACCAUCCUCUUUACCUUCCGAUGAAGAAGAAAACUUUUAAGUCUAUAUGUAAUAGGAUUUUUUGACCCAUAACAUACUCCUGUGGAGAUUUCUCUGCAUAGCAAUAUCAGUGUUAUUUUUCUAUUCCAAUAUUUUUCACACUACCAAGAUCCUAAACAAAAAAGAUGUCAUACAAUAUCAAGUACAUGUACUUAAUGCAUGAACCUAAAGAUCUCUCUUUCAUAAAUCACUGUUCACACUUCUCUGCUGAGGUAGCUGUAAUUCAGACCUUAGCACUUAGGAAGACAAAUGAAUUUCUCAUGAACCUUUACAAAUCUGUCAGGGUUCCAACUGGUUAACUAACUCUAACUGGCAAAAGACCUUCAUUUGUGUACUGACCAUCACACUGUGUUAUGAAAUUCAUAUAGUGUAAAACCUGUUUAUAGGAAGUGUAAAAGAAAAUUGACAAUGACAGCAAAGAUGGUGCUCAUGAAAAACUGGCUGUUUUUACAUCACCAUCUGCAAGCCAAAGAUUAACUGAAGUCAGGGUAAGAAGGUAUGGAACAGGAUUUCAGUCUGCAGUGGGAUCAUUCAUUUGCAAACAGACCAAAAACAAGAGAUAAAUCCUAAGAAAACCCAAACACUUCAAAUCCAAGAAAUCCUUUUCUAACCUUACAGUGUUAGAGUAUUUUGUGGUCUACAACAAAGAAAAAUGUCUCUCUCUUGAAAACCAGUGGUGUAUUGUAGAAGAGUGAGACUGAGCAGAAUAGGAUGAAAUAACUGAAAGAAAUAUUUUGUAAGUGAUCUCGGAAGGUGUAAGCUGUAGAAGGGCAAAACUAGAAAAACAUAAAUCUGGUUAAGAACUGUCAACAUGUUCCUUAUGAUCUUUAGCUCAGGUGAAUCAAAUAAAAGCAGCUCUUUCAUGGAAUAAAUGAGGAAACAGAAGCUCUUUUUAGGUCCUCUACAAAGACACAAGAGAUAAGCAAGAAGCAUUCUGAUCCAUUGCUUCCAUUCCUUACUUCUGAUGCUCAGCAGGUGCCCUACACUGAUCUACUCCAGCACAGCAGAAUGUGCUGUAGACAUUCUCCAACUUUCUUGUAGAAAAUUCAUGGGUAACAGGAUCAAUGCUAUCUCUGAACUUAGAGGACUACUAAGUGUACACAUCAGAAUGACAAGAAAAACUAAUGUAUUGAAUAUUUAAGUACUGCUCGUGUACAGCUCUUCUAGAGGUCACAGAUAUAAAACAUCCAAAUCAGUUUUUCCACCAUCCUGCUCCUGCCAAGAAAGUUAGCUGGUCUUCUAACCCAUCUAUAUCUGAAAAUAUAGUGGCACUAUCUAGCUAUAUAUUUAUCUCUAUUUCCACAUAUAUACAGAGCUUAAAGCAGCAAUCACUCAAUUGAGUUGGAAUGUUGCGUAUAGGAUGCAAUAAAGGAGUAAAAAUACAUUCCUGACUUCAGCAAGAUGUGAUCAAACAUGUGAAAAGGCCUUCUAGCUAUGACUCACUAAGAAAUGAGUGAGGGAUUGAGAGGCUGAAAGGCUGCUUGCUGACUGGAGAAAGCCUUCUUUCAUACUGGCCAGCAAGGACUGAGAAUUGACUAUUCUGUCAAAAAGCCAGGUAUAUCUUGCUUGUUUUCCCACUAUCCUACUGGGUGUGCGGUGGUGUGGGGGCUGGGGGAAAGGGAAAAAGAGAGAUAGAGAUAGAGAUAGAGAUAGAGAUGAUAGAGAUAGAGAUAGAUAGAGAUAGGGAUAGAGAUAGAUAGAGAGAGGAAAGAAAGGAGGUCUUACAUUUCUUACAUUUAUGGUCUUUUUGUAAUUGUGCUCCAGAGGAAUCCCUUGGUCAUCUUACCAGAAGAAAGAACCAGUUCCCUUUAUUUGGCCCUAUCAGAAGGGAACACCUUUUACUCAUUUCAUUUGCCUUUUCAAAUUUAUUUAUCUAUCUAUCUAUCUAUCUAUCUAUCUAUCUAUCUAUCUAUCUAUCUAUCUAUUUAAAUGUUGGCCAUGCCGGAAGGAAAAAGGGUAUCUCACUUGACUCCUAGGAGGAAAAUCAUUCCAAAAGAACCAGUUCCCUACUGAGAACAGGAAAAAGAGGAAUACAUUACUUUUAAACUGACCUGAUUUUUUUAAAAUGCAUAUGACUCCUUGUUUUUAAGCACAGUUCACAUGAACUGCCUACAUGAAGCUGGAAAAACUUGCCUCCUAAAUUGCUCAGAUAUGGACACUUCAGAGAACUUUACUGAGGAUUUUACAAGAUAAAGCUCCUCAAAAAUGGCAGCAGACAGCUGGUCUAACUCAUCUAAGCUCUGCUAUGCUACCAACAGGUACCUAUUUAGGUGCAGGACCUAUUACCUCUCAAAGGAUUCUAGUCUUUCAUGAUAAAUGUGCCACUAGUAGUCUCUAAAAUAAUUUAGACAUAUCAGUAUGAGCAAUCAUUUAAACUGUGGCCUUAUUUAAAGGGAAAUUCCCUUUUAUUUUUGCUUUUUUGGUGGUUUGGGUUUUUUUUCAAAUAGCAUAUUUCUUGAUCUCUCAGGGGAGGCAGCCCUUCUGCUUCUCUUUUUCUUGUUUCAGUACAUCAGUCUGCUUUUCACCAGUCAGCUUCCCAUAUUUCAAACCUUGCUCUCAAAAUAGCUUAGACUAACAAGUAAGUCUUAGGAGACAGAGCAAGGUGUCUGGUUAUUUUAUAAUGGCAUUCAGGUAGGAGUGAGCAACGCAAAGAACCAAGCCAAAAUGCUAAUCUGUGUUGCCUGAGGUUGAGGAGCAAGACAUCAAGAAAGUGCAAGGCCACAGGUGUAGACUUCUCUAGCUACACAUACUCAUCUUGUUUGUCUGCUGAUUACAAAACUUUGCAGGAUAGUUUUGUUCUAAACUUGUAUGAGUAAUGACUGGGUUGGGGGUUAAUUUUAUUUUUUUCCCAGAAUCGCUACAAACUAUAUAUCACAAAAUUAAAUGCAGAAAUUUAACGUAUACUGGGAGGCAACAGUGUAGUUUUGAGUCAUGCUAGUAAAGACAAGAACAAAGUUUCAUAGCCUAUUAGAGUGGCCACUUAUGUCACAGUCUGACAGUGCUCUGUAAAUAUCCAAAGCAAGCUGUGAUGUUUCUCAAAAUUUGAAUCAGAAAAUAAGCAUGGAUUAAAGAUUUCUGACAAGCUGCAAAUAGGUAACCAAAUAGCAUGAUAGAAAACACAGUAUUUUCCAGAACAUUAACUUGAUACUGAAAUAAGAGAAUUUUGUGUUUUUACUUCUGCAUGGCUAUCAACUUGAGCCCAAUAGAACAAACUGGAACCAUAUUCAAGUCUAUUUUUUCCUGCUGGCUUUAUAGCUUCCCCAUACUUUCUGCACAGUACAUGUUCCCUCUCUUUUGCUCUCAGCAUUUGGACUCUCUCCUUCAGGCAUUCUGUAAUCCUGCCAGCCCAAGAGCUUUGCUUUUAGUAAGUAGAUCUGCCAACUUAAACACCAGUCUCCUAAGGCAAUCAAAUAAUGAAACACACAUGUAUGUACUUGCACAUAAUCUGUCAAAUACCUCUCAAGCCCACUACAAAUGAUUUUUGCAAUCUGGGGGUUUUAGAGGAGCAUGCAUUCAUACACAGUUUUCAAAGAUCAAAUGACACGGCUCUCCAGAGUUCUCUGUCUUGUUUGUACACUCAAACCCAAUGACCCUGCAAUUUCCAUAUUAACAUCUAAAGAUAUGAAAAAUGAAAAACUUAAAAACAAAAAGGUUUUUGUGCAGAAAACUUCAUAUGGAGUAAGAGCAGAAAACUUCAUAUGGAGUAAGUAUAUCCUUCAAUUUCUCCAAUUUGGCAGAAGUCUCCUGCAAGACAGCACAGAUUCCUCCAUGGCAGAACACUCUUUCCACGUUUCUAGUGUGUCUGGAAAGCUGAUGAAUAACCAUUCCAGGUGUCAAGAGUAUUUUUCAUACCUCCCCCAUUACUCAUCUAUCAUCCCACUUGAUGUCUUGACUUCCACUUUCUAAACUAGUGUUUCCUGAAAGAGGAAUCUAUGUAUGAUGCUAGCAACAGAGUAACCCAGGAAAAACUUUGAACUUUGUCAUACUAGAAUAAAACUGCACUGUCACACCUCUUGAUUAAGUAAGGUUGCAUUUUACUACAUGGCAAGAUAAAGAUGGGAGCAAAAGCAUCUUUCAAGGAAGCAAGUUAUUGAUUUGUAUUAAAAGAGGAAAAAUCAAGUUUCAAGAAUGGUAAUUUACCAUAUCACCAUUUGCAAAAAUUCCUGUAUUGUGAAACACAACUAUGAUACAACAAAAGCCCCUCAAAACUAAUAGAGAUGCACCAUAAAAACCUAAAGAGGAGCUUAAAACAUGUGUCACUGAAACGUUCUAUUGUGAGAAAUGUUUAACAUGUACAACGAAGUACUAUGAAUUUGAAACUCUGGAUUUGCAAAAUCAUGAAACAAGUAAGCUAACACUAAAUUAUGUUAUCAUAUAUGUUGAAUUUGUGCACUCACAUUCUAGUAAUUAUUUUGAUUUUGAUGCUUAUAUUUGGAUUCCAGCCUGUGCAGGAAGAGGUAUGCCAGGAAGAUUUGUCCUGCAAGGAAUUGUUUUGGACAUCCAGUACAGAGUAACUGAAGCCAGACACAGAGUGAGAAUAUACUCACUCCUUGGGACAAAUGAAGAUUUACAUAGUCAAAACUAAUCGAUUUCUGGUUCCUGGUUUUAUUUAUCUCAAUGAAAUGUAACUGCUAAGUUCUUAUAUAUUAAGGAUUUUAAGAGUUACUCCCUAGGUUCACCUUUUUGAAGUGAAAUCUACAUGGCCCUCCUAUGAUGAAGAUAUUAACCUUAGAUUAUCCUGAAGCAGUAGGUUUGUUUGGUUGUUUUUUAAUUGUCUGUUUUGUUUACCUUACUCCUUACAGGAACCAUGAUGGUACCUUUGCUCACAACAGUGUCCUAAAGAUGACUUAGCACUUGUCAUUCUGAAGUUCUAUGAAACAAUAACUAGUCAUGUCAUUGGAAAGAGCACAAGUAUCAAUGAAAAAACCUAUUUCUAGAGAGAAGGCUAAAAGCUGUAAAGAAUAGGUGGCUUAAUACUACAAACUGAUCAACCUGAAUGAAGCAAUUUUAAUUCAGUGAAGACCUUGAAAAAAACAAAGCAAGAAUAAGUGGAGGAAAGGGUGGGAUAACUAUAUCACUAAAAAAAAUUGUAUCAGAUGGUAUACACUGAAAGAAUUUGUACUUUUGUGUAUAAACACAAGAUUUAGAUGCAGUUUUGAAACCUUAAUAUUCUCCUACUGUAAUGUGCAGCUCACUGUCUAUACACAUAUACAUCAAGGUGAUAAAACUCUAUUUAUUUUAAAGAUAAUAAUUUGUUACAGUAACAGAAUAUACAAAUAAAACUGUCACCAUAUCACUUCCUCAAAUAUAAGAAACCCCUAUUACUGUCACAUUAGUUACUCAAACAGGCAGCCCUAAGGAAAACAUCAGCCCUGCUAAAGUAUCUAUCACCCUAGAGCAAAUUUUUAACAUGUAUCAGUGAAGAGUUCUGAAUAUAUUGAAAGAAAAUAACCCAGUGAAAGUAGUUUCUAUACUAUCAUCGCCGAAUACAAUUAAAUAUAUGUAGUUUCCCAAAUGAAAACAUUUUACUUCUAAAGUCACAAUUCUUACCAUGUAAUGGACAUUAAAGGGAUAAAAAAGUUAAGUAAACUACACUAAAUAUGUACUAAAGGAAGCAGUUUGGACUAAUUAUUAACAGGCUUUAAAUUCAACUAGAAGUUAGGAGCUCAAAACAGGAAUAACAGGGUGAAAUUACAUGCCCUACAUUAGCCCAGGACCUCAAAAGAGAUGCUCACAACAGAGUUUCCCUUACUUGUAUUCAAAAUUUAUGAAAGGAUAGUCAGACUCUGCUCUUUAUGCCAUGUUUAUGGUGCAGUGUUUCAUGCACAUUCAUAUUCUAUGAUUCUGGUAUACUGGAAUCUCUUCCAAAAAGAGAUAAGAUUUGUGCUCCAAACCCUAAAGAUAUUGUGAAUUUUGCCACAGAGAACUAAGAGUAAGAACUAUGGGAUUUUUUUUCCCAAUGCUGCUAAAUCUUAACUAUAUGUCUGAUCCUUCUGAAGUCAAGAUGGGUUUUGCCACCAAUUUAAGGGAAAGUAGAAUAGUAACCUAUGGCUUCUUGUAUGAACAAGUUCUUGAAGUAAAGAAAAAAGCCCCUCAAACAUGUAUAGUAUUUUCAAGAACAUCACUACUUUACAAUAAUUUUAUUUUUAGUUUGCAUACAAAAGGAUUUUGAAGAAAGGAUUUUAAUCCUCUAUUUAGAAGAGAGCAGCUCACAUUAACAAGCAUGGGCAUGCUCCAUCCAAACUACUAGACAAUUUUACCACUGUAUUUGACUGACUGGCUAUUUAGUUCAAACAGACAUUGAGAAUUUAAAAAAACACACACAACCCCCCCCCCCCCCCCAACAAAACAACCAUUCUCAUCUAAUUGGCAUGUUUUUACUGUGUCAUAAUAAAACCCUACAUAUUUGUCUUAGAGGAAACAUCUGGAGAAAAAGCUUAACAGUUGGUAACUGUCUUCCCCUUUUUUGCUAAACUGUUCACGCAACUCAAAGUCCUGCAUCCUAAAUCACUCUGGAAGGCACCAGCAGCCCACUAGCUUUUUCAGAGAAGGUUUUAAUAUCAAAAAUAGAUAGAGACUUUCAACUUGCUAAGAAGCAAGAUUUUAUGCUAGCUGCUCUGUAGUAAACAUUGUUCAACCAGUGGUUUAAUAUUAUUCCCAAAUCCUGACAAUAAUGGGAUUGUGAAAAUCUCUUAUUUCAUGUAGGGGACUGCAGUUUACACAAGCUACCAGAAAGUUUUUAGAGUUGUAAGCACUAAGUUUGAUCCAAGAGGUAGUCAGAAAAACAUGGAAGUUGCAGGGAACCCACACUAAUCUUUCAUACAACAGUAAUUAAUUAUAAAUAUAGCAAAGAGAAUCCAAACAUUCCUCACUCUGUGCCCUUAAGAAGCCCUCAUUCAAUGAACAGAGGUCCCAUUUUCAGUUAUUUCAGAAGAAAUCUUUUACUACUUGCUGUUUAGAAUGUGUUCCUUAAAAUUCUAUCAUUUGGCCAGGCCAGAUUACAAGGAUCACUAGAAAAAUUUUUAUGCCUAGAACCGGCUUGCACUGGAACAAAAAUGCCUCCCUUAAUCUUUCUUAUUAAGAAAAUUGCUUAUUUAGGGUACUAAAUAGCUACACUAUUCUGGCUUCAGAACAAUUGAGAAGAUUUGGACUGGCCAGAAUAUAUUCUAAAUUGUACUUAAACAUCUGUACAGAUUUUACUCCAAAGUACCUAAAAUAAGCCUUCACAGAAUACCCAUAUAUCAGCAGAGACUGAAAGGCCAAGUAACAGAACACGCCUCGCUGCACCCCAUGGUGUCCUGGCACCUCACAGCUCUUGCAGACCACAUCAGGGCAGAUGUCUCUCAUGCAUGUGCCAGUCAACUAAGAGCAAAGCAGGAAAUGAUGGAGGGUUUUGCCACUGUUUCUGUUGCUCCUCACCUGUGCCAAGCAGCUGUGCAAGGAGACAAUUCAAGGGUAAGGUUGAAAACACAAGAGACAUUUUCCUGCUCCCUUCAUACAAGCGCAGCACAUGAAAAACUGCAAUGAAAUUUACAUGAAAAAAUAGCACUAGAGGACUGGAAUGUGUGCUCGCAGUGUAGAACACCAUGUGCAAAUACAAAAAAAACUGAGAACUUUCCCCCUUAACUGCUUAUUUCUGGAAUGUUCCUGGAUAGAGAGAUAAUGAAACCACAUACAGCUGUGCAGCCUUAUCUACCAUGAUGCAUAAUUAGCAGUUUCUUUCAUUAAUUCCCUAAUUUAAGUGCCUUCAUCUACCUCCAGCAAAAAAGAGCUGAGGAAGAUGACUGGGAAAUAAAAAAGUAACCUCACAAACUAAGAGGCUUCUCCUUGAGAGAGACUGCUGGAGAAGCUGUAACAUGCUUUGAAACAUUGGUUUGCAGUGUACCAUUCAAAAGUUUCUUUGCCAAGAAUAGUCCUCCAUGCUUAUCUGCUAUCUACCAAUGUUAUCCAAGCAGGAUGAAGAGAUCUUGGAAAAACAGGUGAUAGCAUUGAAGUUUUCUGUCCUAAGCCCAACAAAUAAAUUCCAUUGCUGUAUCUGUAAACAAGACAUACAAACCUGGCGCAGCCAUGCCUUGUGCUAGGUUGUCGUGGUAACUUUAUCCCAGUAAAAACCAGCUCAGAGGCACAUUCCCUCUCAGACUACAGAUCUCAGGUUGCGCUAUGCUUCCUUCCUUCCCAGGCUAUGGAACUGGAGUGUUCAAACACGCUGCAGCCAACAAAUACAACCCCAGAGAGGAGAAAGAGCAAGGUAGAGACCACUUGAAUUUAAUGUUCUUGAGUGGAAUAAUUCAGCUUUUUGCCACUACCUUUACAACUUAAGUGUGCAUGUGUUUUACAGGGAAGCAUCAAAGUGUUCAAGGAAAGCAGAGUUAACUUUGUUUUACUAAAACACAGACACUAAAAGUAUAAAAAAAGAAAAGGCAAAAAACCCAGAGAGAAAAAUCAACCCCAUCUAUUUUACUGGAAAGAUACAAUAGCUGAGUCCUAAAUGGACACAAAGUAACUGCCAUUCCUGCAAGAGGUCUCCCUUCUGCAGGAGCAUCUUCCCGUCCCAGAUGCCACCCAGUGAUUUGCCAGCACUGAUGGAAAUUGGCUUGUUUAGACCUACUAAAGGCAGAUCUUACUUCUUGCCCUCAACAUCUACCACCUCCAGUGAAGAAAUUAUCUCAGAUACUGACCUCUGGGAAAUGUUCUAACAUAGCAAAUGAUGAGGAGCAUAUACAAACAGACCUAGUGGAUUGUAUGAGAAAAUUGUCUGACAGCUAACUGAACUGUUAAAGACGUUUUUCAUCAUUCACAUCAUAGUUUACAUAGUAGUUUUGAAGUAGAAGAUAGUCUCAAAAGAUAUUUUUUAAGUGUAGAGCCAUCAGCUUAAAUAUAAUUUUUUAAUGCUGUCUUACAUACAAACUAUUUUAUAAAGUGGGUCAAAAUGUGAAAAUAAGGAACAAGAUCUAGGUGCUAUUCUUGUGGACUGCAGCAUACAGCAUUUACAAAAGACUGAACAAAAAGCACUCACAUUAGUACAAAAGGUACUGCUAACACUUUAUGAAAAUAUUUCAGGCAAUGUCCAAGGAUGCAGGCAUUUCUACAUCACAGUGAAAAAAAAGAAAACAAACAAAAACCAAAACCCUAACAAAAAAUGUACACAAGCGCCUUCUCUUAAUGAAACCACCAUAAAAUAGAAUUGCAUUUUAGACAUGCAUUUUGCUGAAGACAUGAACAAAAGUUAGCAACUAUUAACCAGAGUUACAACUGUUUCUUUUUUUUUUCUAAAGCCAGAAACUCUCUCUAAGUUCUCUCAAGCACUUUGAUUCUUACCAAAGUAUUCUCAGGAUUUAAUAUCCUUCUCCAGUUAAAAUAACCAUGUCUUUAAUAUUGUGUAAUUCCCUUUGUCAUUCUUAGCUAUGAAAAUAAAGAAGUUCUUUGUAUUUCAGACUUCAGAUUGAUUUCAUGGAUGUUCAUCAUGGAGAGAGGCUUUGGUAAGGCACAAAUGUGAAACAGUGCACAGCCAGCUGCAGUUACAGACUUGUGUUCUUUCACACAAGAAAAGCUGCAUCACACAACUAUUUAAGUGGGCACAGUUAUUUGCUCAGGGUGCUGAAUGAUCCAUUCUUGGCAAACACUUAGUACCAUGUAUUGCUAAAACUCACAAACUGAUGUUAUCAUAUGCAAGCCUAAGUAUUUGCUAACCAGUGAAGAUUUUUUUCAGAUGUUCCUGGAUCACAGCUACAGGACCAAGAUGAUUCCAAUGAGAGGUGUAGGCUAAUUCACCUUUGCCAUGCUGUACAUCUGCCCCAGCUUUCAUGUCAGCACAAGGUAUUAGCAAACUAAAUCAGUAUAACAGUAGGCUAAGAAAAUGUAAGCAAAGUCACUCAUCAUAGUGCCACCUCUGUAAUCCUAGAAAGGCAUAUUAAAAUCAAUAUGACACAAACCAGACAAAUAUUUGUUACAGCAUCUAAAUAGGAAUGUCUUAUUAUUUCAACUUAAUGCAAAAAUGUGUAAAAUAAGGCUUUUAAAAAUUAUCAGAUUAAUUAGAUUGAUACAUUCAGGGAAAAAGGAUUCAUUUCAGUCACACAAGCCUUUUCAGUCUAAGAUCACCUUUGAGGAUUAAAAGGGGGUUCUGUGUACCCCAAGUGAUAUAUUUUUCAUAGAAAUAUCUAUUUUUCAAUUCAAGUAUUAUUUUAAAAAGCUCUCUCUCCCACUUUAAUUUUUAUCCUAUGAGGAUUAAAAUGCAACAGGGAAGACGCUGUGUUUAAAGGUCCUUUUUCCCUCUUGCUUCCUUCCUCCUGUACCAGCAGGUGGGGCCACGCAUCAACCAUGAACUUGCCCAGGCCCUCUAUCCACGUGCAGUUUGUAUCGUACUUGCAAAGCCUAUCCCUGCACUUCCCGUAGUGCUUACAAAGGCUUUUUUAGUUAUUAUCAACCCUGAUAUUAUCGCUGUGAAAAAAAAUGCUCUAUCUCACUUCAGUGGAGCUUGCAAAAAUCUUUGCCAUCAUCAGUGAUAAAGCAGUUGGCAAGGACUGUUGUGUUCAGACGCAUGCACUUAUCUGGCAGCUAGAAAUUUGCCUAGAAAUGUUAUCACAAGUAGAUGGCAAGGCUUUAUAGCAGGAACUUGCCCCAUUUCUCAGUGCAAGUCAAACUCAACUGACGUGAAAAUUCAUGACUGCAAUGAAUCUGACAACCGCAGCAGGGCAAAGGCUUAUACUCAAACUGGAUAUAAAAAGAAAGGAUUCAAGGGCUCUGGCCUGAAUGGUAAAUAUACUUACCAUUUGUAUUUGCCAUGAGAUAGUGACUCAUCACUUUAUCCCAUAAUUUCCUUUUUCCAUUUGCCUAAAUCAAGCAAGAUGACUGUUUUCUUGCCAAUGGAGGCUCCAGGUUCACCACAUUUCACUCACUCUAAUGUCCCUCAAUACACAGAGCUAAAUAAUUUUCACAAAUGAAUUGCUACACUGGCUUUAUAGCAAAAUUAAAGAAACAAAUCCUACAACACAUUCAGUUAAACCAUGCACAAACGGUUUUAUGCCCUCUGUCAGUUUGGAACUUUAUCAGAUAUUGCAUAACCUCGUUGGUGAAAGGAAAGAGUUUCCAAAUGUUAUGUGUCAUUAUCUUUGUGUAACUUGCUGAUCUGUAUCUGUUGUAGGAGAAGAAUGAAAAAGAAUUUGGGCUCUUCCUUUAAAAAAAAAAUCUGUUUUAUGACUUCACCACAAGAAGGAAGAGCUUCAGAUUAUUUUUAGGCUCAAAAUCAGCUGAAAUAGUACAAAGUGUCAACACAAACAACCCUUUUUAGUUAUACAGGAAGUUACAGGAAGCACCAAAACAUCAAAACAGACAAAUUAUUCAUAUAAAGUUCUGGUCUGUCCUUCUGCAAUCUGAUCUUCAUUUCAAAGUGAGAAUUUAGCAUUCCAAGUUAAAUCUGUAAGUAUUUCAGUCCAUCAAUCAAAUCUUUAUGCUCCAAAGUCUACUUAAGAUUCAGCCUUCACAAAACAGGUAGGGAAAUGAUACUGUAUGAAUCAACUCUAAAUGUAUAUGGCCGUAUCAGAUUCCAUACAGCUUAUGCACUUUCUAUUUGCAAAGAGUUGAGGAAAAUUGGGAUAAGCAAGAGGAACUAGCCUUAAGUAGCUUCAAUUAAAAAAAAAUCAUUCCAAGAGAAAAAACUUCAGUCUUGUCAAAUCUUUACUGCUUUGCAUAUACUUCAUAUAUCUAAUGGGGGGAAUAAAGAUUGUGUCUCUAUGCUGCAAGUGUUGCAAGUACCUCAAUCCUCCCAGCAGCAGCCAGGCACCCUUGCCUGGUGGGAAAAAAAAAUGUGGCAUGUUGGGUCACUUGAAACCUCUCAACAGAGAGGAAUUACAUCUGCCUUGCCAUAGCUCUGACAUUGCAUCAGACCUGAGACUGGAAGGUGCUAGAGACUUCUUAGGGCUUUUGUUUCUCUUUUCUUUUCAUAUCCUUUUAGACAAAAUUAAAAAAAAAUCCCCAGAAAAUCAACCUAAAUCUAGUUCUUUAUUGACAAAGAUAAGGGGAAGACAGGCAAAAUGUAACAGUCCUAAAAUUUCAGCCAGGGAAUGCCAAUUCUUGUCUUAACCAAUAGUUCAAGAAACUUAAAAUAAGUGAUGAAUAAAAUAAAAAUAUGGGGAGUUAAGUGUUUUAAUGGAACUUAAGACCACCAGCAAGGGGGGUUUUGCUUUCAGAUUGGCUUUUAACAUUUAGGAAGCCCCCUGUUUCUAAGACUGACUGCAUAAGACACAGGCCUGAUGAGCAGCUCUGCCCAUGUCACCAGCCUCAUUGACUGCAAAGUGUGUUCAGAUGUCUAUAAUUAUUUGUUUAUGAGCAAUACACCAUUGUGAGUAUUGACAGCAUUGUGCUUAAAUACUGCAAAUUAGAUCUAAUACAAAGCAAUCUGGACAUUGAUGAGCAAGUGAUCAGGCUCAAUAAAGACAAGGGGAAAAACCAUUCAGAGUGAAUAAUUAAGUAUUAAAGAGUAUUGAAAGUACUAAAAAGUGUUUUCUUCAAAAGAUAAACCCAGGUAUAUGGCAAAUUAAAGGAACUUCUUUGAUUAUGCACAUAUAUUCUUUGAAAUCACAAGUUUCUUAUGCUCUUAUUCAACAUAUACACAACAGGAGUACAUACAGAAUUGACUCUUUACAGAAUUAAAAAAGGAUACCGAUUACAAAUAAAUGGGGUAUGUUUAAAAAGUUUUAAGUUACAGUUCCCUAUUAUUUUGUCACUUUAAUCCACAGUACUUUCAAUUCAUCAAGUAGUGAAAAUGUAAACUUGACUGCAUUUGGUCAGGCAAGCUUCACACCACACAUUAUUUAUUUGAAAUACACUCUAAGGGUGUGGAGAGAAGUAUCAUUUUGGGAAGAAUCUUUUGGCCUACUGCCCAUUACACUGGCUGCUGGACAAUGUUAACUGUGCUAUUCCCUGCCCCAAAUAACAUACACAACUAUAGUGAAGCCACCUGAAAGUCAAACAUAUAUUGUUAUAUUGUUCUUUAUCUGAACUGUAUUUCUGCCCUCACCUCUGGUUUUACUCUAACUUUUGUAGUGUUCUGCUAACUUAAAAAUUUCACCUUAAUUUUGAUUUUUAUAAUACUCUUUCAGUACAUUUCCAAAUCUGUUUCUAAGAUUCAAAGCAUUCUCUGCCUUAUAUCUCUUCAGAAAAAAAGAUCUGUAAAGAGACUACUUAUAAUUACUUUUCCUAAUUUCUUUUAGGAAAGCAUACUUUAUUUUUACAGUAAUUAAGUCUGAAGUUCAAAUUUCUAUUCAGAAGGGUCUAAUCCCUGGUCUUAGUGCAUUAUGGAGGUGUCUAGCCUCUUAUAUGAAGCUAAAAUCUUUAAUUCAAAAUUCAAAACAAGCUAUGGGAACUCUUUUUUUUUUUUUAAUCAGAAGAAAACAAGGUUGGACUGCAAGCUGAUUCUUAAGCAUUUUAAAGCACAGGAGGAUUACAUGUGCAGGCUUUGACACGAAGAUUCUCAGUUAAAUCAGAACAUUUUCUUGUUUCCAAUUCCCAGAG